rnacentral:pre_miRNA from 1 species
UCAUUAAGGAUCUGACCCAAAGCCCACUGAAAUCAUUGGGAGUCCUUCCAUUGACUUCAAUGGGCUUUGGAUCAGGCUCUAAAAGA